rnacentral:rRNA from 1 species
AUUGAACGCUGGCGGCAUGCCUUACACAUGCAAGUCGAACGGUAACGGGCCUUCGGGUGCUGACGAGUGGCGAACGGGUGAGUAAUGCAUCGGAACGUGCCCGGUGGUGGGGGAUAACGCAGCGAAAGCUUUGCUAAUACCGCAUACGAUCUGCGGAUGAAAGCGGGGGACCACAAGGCCUUGCUUGGCCGGGCGCGUCGGUGGCGGACGAGGUAGGUGUAGGGAUAAGGUGGGGUAAAGCCGUAACCAGCGGACGAGCUGUAGCCGGUCUGAGAGGACGACUAGGCAAACUGGGACUGAGAAACGGCCCAGACUCCUACGGGAGGCAGCAGGGGGGAAUUUUGGACAAGGGGCGCAAGCCCUAUCCAGCAAUGCCGCGUGCGGGAAGAAGGCCUUCGGGUUUUAAACCGCUUUUUUACGGAAAGAAAAGGCUCUGUCUAAAACCUGGGGCUGAUGACGGGACCGGAAGAAUAAGCACCGGCUAACUACGUG